AUUGAACGCUGGCGGCAGGCCUAACACAUGCAAGUCGAACGAGUGGCGGACGGGUGAGUAAUGUCUGGGAAACUGCCUGAUGGAGGGGGAUAACUACUGGAAACGGUAGCUAAUACCGCAUACCAUCGGAUGUGCCCAGAUGGGAUUAGCUAGUAGGGGGGGUAACGUCUCACCGAGGCGACGAUCCCUAGCUGGUCUGAGAGGAUGACCAGCCACACUGGACCUGAGACACGGUCCAGACUCCUCCGGGAGGCAGCAGUGGUGAAUAUUGCACAAUUGGCGCAAGCCUGAUGCAGCCAUGCCGCGUGUAUUAAGAAGGCCUUCGGGUUGUAAAGUACUUUCAGCGUGGAGGCGUUACCCGCAGAAGAAGCACCGGCUAACUCCGUGCCAGCAGCCGCGGUAAUAC
rnacentral:rRNA from 1 species